rnacentral:rRNA from 1 species
GACGAACGCUGGCGGCGUGCCUAAUACAUGCAAGUCGAGCGCAGGAAGCCGACGGAACCCUUCGGGGGGAAGUCGACGGAAUGAGCGGCGGACGGGUGAGUAACACGUAAAGAACCUGCCCUCAGGUCUGGGAUAACCACGAGAAAGCGGGGCUAAUACCGGAUGGGUCAUCGGACCGCAUGGUCCGAGGAUGAAGGGCCAGCCGGCGUAGCCUGGGGAUGGCUUUGCGGUGCAUUAGCUAGUUGGUGGGGUAAUGGCCCACCAAGGCGACGAUGCAUAGCCGACCUGAGAGGGUGAUCGGCCACACUGGGACUGAGACACGGCCCAGACUCCUACGGGAGGCAGCAGUAGGGAAUCUUCCACAAUGGACGAAAGUCUGAUGGAGCAACGCCGCGUGAACGAUGAAGGCCUUCGGGUCGUAAAGUUCUGUUGUAAGGGAAGAACAAGUGCCGCAGGCAAUGGCGGCACCUUGACGGUACCUUGCGAGAAAGCCACGGCUAACUACGUGCCAGCAGCCGCGGUAA